UACGAAGGGGGCUAGCGUUGCUCGGAAUUACUGGGCGUAAAGCGCACGUAGGCGGUCUUUUAAGUCAGGGGUGAAAUCCUGGAGCUCAACUCCAGAACUGCCUUUGAUACUGGAGAUCUUGAGUUCGGGAGAGGUGAGUGGAACUGCGAGUGUAGAGGUGAAAUUCGUAGAUAUUCGCAAGAACACCAGUGGCGAAGGCGGCUCACUGGCCCGAUACUGACGCUGAGGCACGAAAGCGUGGGGAGCAAACAGG
rnacentral:rRNA from 1 species